GACGAACGCUGGCGGCGUGCUUAACACAUGCAAGUCGAACGGAAAGGCCCUGCUUUUGUGGGGUGCUCGAGUGGCGAACGGGUGAGUAACGCGUGAGUAACCUGCCCUUGACUUUGGGAUAACUUCAGGAAACUGGGGCUAAUACCGGAUAGGAGCUCCUGCUGCAUGGUGGGGGUUGGAAAGUUUCGGCGGUUGGGGAUGGACUCGCGGCUUAUCAGCUUGUUGGUGGGGUAGUGGCUUACCAAGGCCUUGACGGGUAGCCGGCCUGAGAGGGUGACCGGCCACAUUGGGACUGAGAUACGGCCCAGACUCCUACGGGAGGCAGCAGUGGGGAAUAUUGCACAAUGGGCGGAAGCCUGAUGCAGCAACGCCGCGUGCGGGAUGACGGCCUUCGGGUUGUAAACCGCUUUCGCCUGUGACGAAGCGUGAGUGACGGUAAUGGGUAAAGAAGCACCGGCUAACUACGUG
rnacentral:rRNA from 1 species